AUUUCUCUCACUUCUGAAAGUGAUUUUCAACUUGAUAUAUAUUUUAGUUUUAUGAAGUUAGAUACAAAUUUGAACCAAGACUCAUAUAUGAAUGUAUCCAAGUUUUUAAAUGAAAAGUAUUGCUCUGCAUGUAUCAUAAUGCUAUAGAUACAAGUCAUGUUUUAUUUUAGUUUCUACUUUGUGAGCAUAUUGGUAUUGCAAUACACCAUUACUGAUAUUGAUUACUCUGAACUAAGACUCUCAUAUAUGAAUGUAUCCAUUGUUGUAAGACUCUAUCCAUUAUUAUUUACUUUAAUUAGUAUAUCAAUAUCAAUUGAUAUGUCUUAAAUUGAUUUUUAAAUUGAUGUUCGUUUUAGUGAAGUAAGACUUUGUCUAUGAUUUUAAGUUGUAUUUUGCAAGUUGAUAUAUGCUUUAUGGAUCCCAUCAUUUGUCAUGAAUUGAUGCAUGUUUUAUUGAAUUGAUAUAUGUUCAAGAUUUUUAACUUGAUUUUCAAAACUGUCAACAUAGUGGCAAUAUGAUUAACUUCACUUUUUGGGAAAGCUAUGGAUCUAAGUUCCUAAAUUACUACAACCAAAACAAAAACUAUGGUGCUAUUGUCAUUAUCCUAACUCAAGCAAUGAUCAAGGAUGCACAAGUUUUCAAAGGAAGUGAUCGUGCAGCACUUUUGAAAUUAACCAAGUUGAUAAUUUGGGACGAAGCUCCAAUGGCUCACAAGUUUUAUUUUGAAGCAUUGGAUAGAACACUCAAAGACAUAAUGACCGGAUCUAAGUCUUCAUCAAAAAUAUUUGGAGGGAAAGUAAUUGUUUUCGGUGGUGAUUUUCGAUAAAUACUACCAGUUAUACCCAGAGGAAGCCGUUCUGAUAUAAUUCAUGCCACAAUUAAUUCUUCAUGCAUAUGAGAUCACUGUCAGGUGGUGAGACUCAAAAAGAACAUGUGGCUGCAACAGAAUGGUCAGAGUUCCAAUGAUCCGGAGUUUGAACAGUUUUCCAAAUGAAUACUGAAAGUUGGAGAUGGAAAAAUAUAUGAACCUAAUGAUAGUUAUGCAGAUAUUGAUAUCCCACCUGAAUUGUUGAUCUCUAAUUAUGAUGAUUCACUUCAAACCAUAGUUCCAAGUACAUAUCAAAACUUUUGGAUGAGUGAUCAGAAUGAAGGAAUAGGUAAAAAAAAUCAAAGAACAUGACUGCUCUUGCAAUUCUACAUAACUAUGCAGAAUUUUGUAUCAGCACACGAAUUUGUGUUUUUGUUUGUACUUAUGCUAUAGGUUAUUAAUAAUUGCUUGGAAUGCAAAAUUAUUAUGAUGAGCGUGCCUUCACAUGGUUCGUUUAGAACGGAGUCAUAGUACUUUUGAUCGAAGAGAGGUAAACACUGACCUGAGAUUCUUAUGAAUUAGAUAUAGUAUAAUGCUACUGUGAAGGAUUCUUUUGGUUGUUCCUGUAUUUGUACAGGCGAAUUCAAUUUGUGUGUGAUGUUUCAAACUGUUGAUAUGUUUAAUGUUUGCACGUGAAUUGGGAAUUAAGUGAGAAGAUUUUGAUGUCAUUAUCAAUACAGACACAUUAGUCAAUAUAUGUAUUGGAAGUCUAUUUCAUGA